rfam:Myotis lucifugus cont2.33130, whole genome shotgun sequence.
GAGACACCCUUCUGGGGCAAGACUUGCUUCACUGGGCUUUGGUGCUCACUGAGUCUGCCCCCUGAGUGUGUCCCU